CGGGGCCUCUCCUUCGUGACCCCGGAGUGGGCAAGUGACGAGGGCACGGCCAGAAACGCAUUGGCGUCAAGGAAACCACGACCCAUCUUCCUGGAAGGAAACUUGGGGACACUUAUGAAGAGAAGACUAGGAAGGACCGGAGUAGAAGCACUAAAGGAGCCUCCAACUCUGAAGUGGCAGGAGAGGUGGCCUGUUCAGGAGAGCAAAACACAACUGAGGAGGCGGGCUUUAGGAACCAUGUGGAAGGGAUAUAAAUAUCCCCCAGGAGGGACUCCAGUGGAAGUAAGCAAGGAUGAUCCUGGUGAAGUAAUGCAGCUGUGAAGCUCACCUGACCAGCUGUACAGUUCCUGUUGUUGGUUUCACAUAAAGUAAUUGCACAUUAUUUUGUCAUAUUUUAUGUUAAGAAGUUACCGCACUUUUUUUUUUUUUUUUUUUUUUUUUUUGAGACAGAGUCUCGCUGUGUCGCCCAGGCUGGAGUGCAGUGGCGCGAUCUCGGCUCACUGCAAGCUCCGCCUCCCGGGUUCAUGCCAUUCCCCUGCCUCAGCCUCCAGAGU
rnacentral:lncRNA from 1 species